CUCAGUAUUCAUAUUAGUACUACCAACCCGAUCUGGGAGAUGCCCUGGAUAUUCUCCCUCUGCGCUGCUCACAUUACUGCCCGUUACACACUCUCUCUACAAUCUCUCUUUCUCUCUCUUCCGAGACGCCAUGGCCGUCUCCUUUCAGCAACUGACUUUACCAUCGGCCCCAAUUUUCAAGCAAUCUUCAAAUUCGCCAUUUCAAAAGCUCGCACCCUCUUCUCUUGUACAGUUGCAGAGGCGUGCUUUUUCGGGGCCUUCUCUAUCGCCGUUUCCAAGCAUUUUGUGUUCUGGAGUUUUUGCCUGUGCGUCUACUCUUAUUUCAACCGAUGCAGUUAAUGAGAAAAGCUUAAAACAAAGGGACUGGAUCUGGCUUGGCUUGCCUAGCAAAGGUCGCAUGGCCUCUGGAACUCUUGAUCUCCUUAAGGAUUGCCAACUCUCUGUUAGACAGGUGAAUCCUCGACAGUAUGUUGCUGAUAUUCCUCAACUCUCCAACCUAGAAGUCUGGUUCCAGCGAGAAAAUGAUAUUGUUCGUAAACUAGUGUCAGGAGACCUGGACCUUGGUAUUGUGGGAUAUGACACUGUCAGUGAAUAUGGACAGGGUAGUGAUGAUUUGAUUGUGGUCCAUGAUGCUCUCGAGUAUGGGGAAUGCCGUUUGUCCCUUGCGAUACCAAAAUAUGGCAUUUUUGAGAAUAUUAAUUCCAUAGAUGAGCUGGCACGCAUGCCUCAAUGGACAGAAGAGAAGCCCCUACGUAUUGCAACGGGAUUUAGCUAUCUGGGUCCAAAAUUUGUUAAAGAGAACGGAUUGAAACAUGUUACUUUCUCUAGAGCUGAUGGCGCACUUGAAGCAGCUCCAGCGAUGGGUAUAGCAGAUGCUAUCUUGGACCUUGUGGGUAGUGGUACUACACUGAGAGAAAAUAACCUGAAAGAAGUAGAGGGCGGGGUUGUGCUAGAAAGCCAGGGUGUUUUUGUUGCAAGCAAGAGAGCAUUGAUCCAACGGAAAGGUGUUCUGGAUACUGCACACGAGAUGCUGGAGAGAUUUGAGGCUCAUCUUAGGGCACUCAGUCAAUUUACAGUUACUGCUAACAUGAGAGGGGCCAGUAUAGAGGAAGUGGCUGAGAGAAUUCUUAAUCAGACCUCCUUUUCAGGAUUGCAGGGACCCACUAUAAGCCCUGUCUUUUGCAAGAGGAAUGGACGGAUUGUGACAGAUUACUAUGCAAUUGUCAUCUGCGUACCCAAGAAGCUUCUUUAUAAAUCUGUCCAACAGCUAAGAGCGAUUGGAGGAAGCGGGGUAUUGGUAUCUCCCUUAACAUACAUUUUUGAAGAAGAAACAUCUCGGUGGCACAAGCUUCUUGCUGAGCUUGGAAUUUGAUUUCUGACUCUUCUCAAAUCAUUCUUCCAUUACCCGCAUUGUGUACUAGUAAGUGGUCCCCUUCCUUUAUUUAUUUAUUGUAAAUUAGGAGUUUCUCUCUCUAGUUGAGAGCGGCUGCAGCGAAUUAUACUUAUUGUUAGAGGUUCCAACGCCUUCCAUUCUGAUGUUUGAUCUGUUUUGUAUUGUGAGGAUUGGAUGAUCUGUUUAUGUAGCUAACUUGAAACAUUAGUGCCAUUCAGCAUCUGGAUGAAAAGCACUACAUAUCAUCUUCUGUUUCUGUUCGUUUACUGCUUGCUGAAUAGCAACAGCUUGUGAGGCGUGAGUGCGUGCUCUGUUGUGACCUCACUAGUAUUAUUAUGCUUAGUUUGAAGAAGAAUAUCUUCCAGUGGAGUGCUUUUACCUCAGAUUAGGGAAUUUAUUAAAGUAAAUAGAGCAUAAUGAAUUUGGGUACAUUGCAAUCGAUUGAAAGUAAAGGUGAAUUCUCUUUAUUUUCUGGGGUAUGAAGGGCUACACGUGGAUGGUGUUCUCUUCGAUAGACUUUGACCGCAUAGAAACCGGGUCCGGGUAGGCUUUGCCUUGAUGCUUCAGUGGCUUAACUUCUAAUGGAUUCUAAUGUUGUAUAUCUAAAGCGUUUUGGAGA